AUGCGAUAAGUAAUGUGAAUUGCAGAAUUCAGUGAAUCAUCGAAUCUUUGAACGCACCUUGCGCUCCUUGGUAUUCCGAGGAGCAUGCCUGUUUGAGUGUCAUGAAACUCUCAACCCCAAGCUUUAAUCGGCUUGUGGUUGGACUUGGACGCUGCUGCGACCUCGCGGCUCGUCCUAAAUGCAUUAGCUGGAAAGUCUCGCUUCACGAGGUUCUCGGUGUGAUAAUUAUCUACAUCGGACGCCGCAAGGCGGCCUCUUUGCGAGUGCAGUCCGCUUCUAAUCGUCGCUCGUCGACAGCUUUUAUUAAGAUCUGACCUCAAAUCAGGUAGGACUACCCGCUGAACUUAA
rnacentral:misc_RNA from 1 species